AUUGAACGCUGGCGGCAUGCCUUACACAUGCAAGUCGAACGGCAGCACGGGAGCUUGCUCCUGGUGGCGAGUGGCGAACGGGUGAGUAAUACAUCGGAACGUACCCUGAAGUGGGGGAUAACGUAGCGAAAGUUACGCUAAUACCGCAUAUUCUGUGAGCAGGAAAGAGGGGGAUCGCAAGACCUCUUGCUUUAGGAGCGGCCGAUGUCGGAUUAGCUAGUUGGUGAGGUAAAGGCUCACCAAGGCGACGAUCCGUAGCGGGUCUGAGAGGAUGAUCCGCCACACUGGGACUGAGACACGGCCCAGACUCCUACGGGAGGCAGCAGUGGGGAAUUUUUGGGACAAUGGGCGCAAGCCUGAUCCAGCCAUGCCGCGUGAGUGAAGAAGGCC
rnacentral:rRNA from 1 species